rnacentral:rRNA from 1 species
AUGAGUUAAGUAUAAACCCCUUUACAAGUAUCAAUUGGAGGGCAAGUCUGGUGCCAGCAGCCGCGGUAAUUCCAGCUCCAAUAGCGUAUAUUAAAGUUGUUGCAGUUAAAAAGCUCGUAGUUGGAUUUCUGUUAAUAAUUUUAUAGUAUAUUUAACAUAUAUUGUAUGAUAUUAACAUAAUUCAUAUUACUAUUUUUAGUAUAUGAAAUUUUACUUUGAGAAAAUUAGAGUGCUUAAAGCAGGCAUAUGCCUUGAAUACUCCAGCAUGGAAUAAUAUAAAAGAUUUUUAUCUUUUUUAUAUUGGUUCUAAGAUAAAAAUAAUGAUUAAUAGGAACAGUUGGGGGCAUUUGUACUUAACAGUCAGAGGUGAAAUUCUUAGAUUUGUUAAAGACAAACUAGUGCGAAAGCAUUUGCCAAGGAUGUUUUCAUUAAUCAAGAACGAAAGUUAGGGGAUCGAAGACGAUCAGAUACCGUCGUAGU